rnacentral:lncRNA from 1 species
CCCUCCGCCUCGAGCACCGCGCGCGCGCAUUCGGUCCCAGCCACCGCUAACACUACAGGCUGCUUACCCCCGCCCCCUCCACCCUACCCCUGGCGGCCUCAGCGGCAGUGGCCGCCGGCGGAGCAGUCUGAGCCCGACGAUGAGGCCGGGGACGGGAGCUGAGCGUGGAGGCCUCAUGAUGGGGCACCCUGGCAUGCAUUAUGCCCCAAUGGGAAUGCACCCUAUGGGUCAGAGAGCGAAUAUGCCUCCUGUACCUCAUGGAAUGAUGCCGCAGAUGAUGCCCCCUAUGGGAGGGCCACCAAUGGGACAAAUGCCUGGAAUGAUGUCGUCAGUAAUGCCUGGAAUGAUGAUGUCUCAUAUGUCUCAGGCUUCCAUGCAGCCUGCCUUACCGGUAAUCAUGUGAAAAUAACUAUUUUCUGUGAAGUAAUGUUUUGAUUGAUUGCUUUUAUAUAUAUGGAAUAAUAUCUAUGUAUUUUAUAGGCAAUCAUGUUAGCUG